rnacentral:rRNA from 1 species
AUUACACAAUAUGAAAGCGGGCUGGCAUCCUUCGGGGUUACAGCCUUGCUGAAUUAUUCACCCGUGUCUUUUGCGUACUUCUUGUUUCCUUGGUGGGUUCGCCCACCAUAGGACAAACCAUAAACCUUUUUGUAAUUGCAAUCAGCGUCAGUAAAAAAAUUAAUAAUUACAACUUUUAACAACGGAUCUCUUGGUUCUGGCAUCGAUGAAGAACGCAGCGAAAUGCGAUAAGUAGUGUGAAUUGCAGAAUUCAGUGAAUCAUCGAAUCUUUGAACGCACAUUGCGCCCUUUGGUAUUCCAAAGGGCAUGCCUGUUCGAGCGUCAUUUGUACCCUCAAGCUUUGCUUGGUGUUGGGCGUCUUGUCUCCAGUUCGCUGGAGACUCGCCUUAAAGUAAUUGGCAGCCGGCCUACUGGUUUCGGAGCGCAGCACAAGUCGCGCUCUCUUCCAGCCAAGGUCAGCAUCCACAAAGCCUUUUUUCAACUUUUGACCUCGGAUCAGGUAGGGAUACCCGCUGAACUUAAGCAUAU